rnacentral:rRNA from 1 species
GAUUUGCUCGGCCGCAAACAAAUGCCCCGCCAUUCUCUGCGGCGUUACUUCUGUCGGUGGUCCACCCGACCCGUCUUGAAACACGGACCAAGGAGUCUAACAUGUGCGCGAGUCGUAGGGUCUCUACACGAAACCCGAAGGCGCAAUGAAAGUGAAGGCCGUUCUUGUCGACGGCAGGGAUCGAAUUUUUAUAAUUCUUUCUCCAUUGAGGGGAGAUCUUCCGUUUCACAACAGGGCGGAAGCGCAUCCCCGGGACGUCUCGUACUCGCAUCGCGGGCUUCGUGCUCGCGUUCGAGUGAGGCGUACCUAGAGCGCACACGUUGGGACCCGAAAGAUGGUGAACUAUGCCUGGCUAGGACGAAGCCAGGGGAAACUCUGGUGGAGGUCCGAAGCGAUUCUGACGUGCAAAUCGAUCGUCAAAA